UCCCAGCUGAAUUCGCCAUCCAGCGCUCCUGAGGCUGAGAAGCGGAGGAGAAGACGCUGUGCGCGGCUGCAGAUCCGACUGGAACUGGCUUCACAGGGCACAUCGAGAACGAGAACUGCUGCAGCUUGGUCUUUACGGAAACCUGGCUGGAGAAAAGACCCCGGACUCGGGCUGGAUGGCCGCACUGCCUAUCGAGCAGACAGAACAGCUGACAUGGCUUUGUUGUCAUGGCGGCGGCGGACAUAGUUGCAACAUAGUUGCAACGGCCCGGAGCUCCCAAAAUCGGGAAUGUUUUGUAGUUUUUGGUAGCACUUAAUAUUAUUCCACACAGUUGUUGUUUUUUUCCACACUGCUCUCAAACCCCGACAAUGAAGUACAGCCGAAAUGCACUUUUAAAGCUCAACAACGCUCCAUUUCGCCUCCCGGCGGACUUCACCAUCCCAGCCGAGAUCACCAGAUCACCAUCCAGCACUCCUGAGGCUGAGAAGCGGAGGAGGAGACGCUGUGCGCGGCUGCAGAAGAGGGGAAAACGCGGAGGUACGUGGGCUAGGCUCAAAGCGAACCCAUUCAAACCCCCGCUUCCUACCAUCUUUCUCUCAAAUGUCCGUUCGAUCCGCAACAAGGUGGAUGUGAUCCGACUGGAACUAGUUUCACAAAAACACAUGAAGAACUGCUGCAGCUUAAUCUUUUCGGAAACCUGGCUGGAUAAAAAGACCCCGGACUCGGCUAUUGAGCUAGAUGGCCGCACUGCCUAUCGAGCAGACAGAACAGCUGACUCGGGUAAGAAGCUAGGAGGAGGUCUGUGUAUCUAUACCCAGAAGCGGAUCUUCCAUUAGGCAAACCUAGGCAAGUGCCUAGGGCCCCAACCAAAUCUGUCUUUAUUAGGGGCCCCCAAAUCUGACCCCCCCAGCCAUUACUUAUGUAAUGUAAAAAACAACAACAUUUCUAGUAGAAAAAAAUAACAAAAAUAUCAACAUAACGCCAAACUAAUGCCUAAAUAAUAAUUUUCCAGCACACAUGCCCCCCUCCAUUGUGCAUUGGACUAGUCCAGAAUAUGAUGACGUAGUAACGCGCGCAGCGCGAAAUAACGUACUUCAAACCAAAGCAUAGGGAUGCGACUCGGUGAAAAUUAAGCGGCGGAAUUAUGAAAGUGGUUGUGCUAAACGAAAACAAAAAGCUGAGAAGAGAAGAAUUGCAGAUACACUGCCGAAAUUGACAUCAUUUUUUACACCUGCUGCUGCCACAGCAGCCGCGGCUGCUGAACUUGCGACAGGCUCUGCUGUUGGGGAAAAUGAUGAAGUGGAGGUGGAGGUGGAGGAGGAAGGAGGAGAGGUGGGUGCCGAAGGAGAAGAGGUGGCUAUGGAAGCCGAAGGAGAGGAAGAUGAAGACGAAGAUGAUUUGGCGGUGAGUAGUGGUGCUAUGCCAUUUACCACUAGCAGCAGUGGAAACAGUUUCCUAAUCGGCGACGACCCUGCACAUUGGCCAGAAAAGUUGAAAGACUCCGAGCGUUGCUCAAUUGUACAGAAAGGACCAGUGCAAUUACGAGGAGAUUUCCCCCAGAACACACAGGGCAGACGCUAUACAAGCACGCACUACUUUUUAAAUAUGAAAAAUGGCGAAAAAAUCCAGAGGUCCUGGCUUGUGUACAGUAAAACGAAAGACCGCGCUGUUUGUUUCUGUUGUCGGCUGUUUGGCGAUAAGCAGCGGUUCUGCACUGACGGCACGAACGACUGGAAAAAUGUAUCAGCCUUCCUAAAAGAACACGAGAAGUCUGCUGAUCACCUCGCAAAUAUGGCUGUUUGGCGAACGCUUCAGCAACGGCUCCAAACAGGUAAAGCCAUAGAUCAUGUAAAUCAAGAGCUGUUUGUGAACGAAGUAAACAAAUGGAGAGAGAUCUUGAAACGUCUGAUUGCCAUUAUUACACACUUGGCCGAGCGCAACUUAGCUUUUCGAGGCCAUUCAGAGAAGCUGUAUGAGUAUGGCAAUGGGAAUUUCUUAGGCCAAGUUCAGCUGAUGGCUCAGUUUGACCCUGUGAUGAGGGAUCAUGUGAAGAGGGUAGCUGAGAAACCACAUUCUGAGAGUUAUUUCAGCAAAAUGAUCCAAAAUGAAAUAAUCUGCUUGGUGGGAAGCUGUGUGACAAACACAAUUGUACAGAGGGUGAAAAAGUCCAAGUACUUCAGCGUCAUCAUGGACUGCACCCCGGAUGUCAGCCAUGAUGAGCAGCUGUCCGUGGUGCUGAGGAUAGUUGACUGCAAUCCUGGCGAAGGAGUGUCCAUCCACGAGCACUUUGUUGGCUUUCUGGUGGCAGAGGACACAACAGGGAAAGGCCUACUCAACUUGUUUUUGGGACACCUGCAGACACUAGAUUUAGACCUUGCUGAUUGUCGUGGGCAAUCCUACGACAACGGCAGUAAUAUGCAGGGGAAGAAACAGGGGGUCCAGAGCAGAGUCCUGGAGCUGAACAGCAAAGCACUCUGUGUCCCAUGUGCCAGCCACACGUUGAAUCUGGUGGUUGGUGAUGCUGCCAAGUCCUCUGUGACAGCUUUGAGUUUUUUUGGACUGUUACAGCGACUGUAUGCUAUAUUCAGUGCUUCUGUUCACCGCUGGACAAUCCUUCAAAAACAUGUGACAUAUUUUACCAUUAAACCACUCAGUACAACAAGAUGGGAGGCUAGGGUGGAGUCCGUGAAAGCCGUCCGAUACCAGUUGCCUGAAAUUUUGGAUGCCCUGACCGCUCUGAGGGAGUAUGCUGAGGAGAAGCAAGACUCUGAAUGCGCCUCCAAUGCCAACGGCAUUCACAAAGAGAUGAAGAAAUGGCCUUUUCUGGUGAGUACAGUCGUCUGGUACAAUGUCCUAUUUCACAUAAACAAAGUCAGCAAGCUAUUGCAGAGCCCCAAAGUGUCAGUGGAAGUCAUGAGGAGAGAGGUCCUUGCAGUGAUGGCAUUUCUGAAAGAUUAUCGAGAGGACGGAUUCAAUUCUGCUAAAACAGAUGCCAGGGAGAUAGCAGAGAAGAUUGAUUUGGAGAUGGCCUGGCCAGAGGUGCGCCAGAGAAAGAAAAAAAGGCAGUUUGAGUAUGAGGGGAGAGAGGAGACAGUGUGCACUGCAGAAGAGAAUUUCAGGAGGGAGUUUUUCCUACAUAUGGUGGACACAACCCUGGUCACAGUCAGGGAGAGAUUUUCAAACAUGGAGGGUGUUUUUGAGCUAUACGGCUUUCUCUACUCCACUGACCAGAUGCAAAAUGUCAUGCAGGGAAAGGAAUUAGAUGAAUGUUGCCACAGGCUUGAGAAGAAAAUGAAUGAUAUUGAUGCAGAGGACCUCAAGCAGGAAAUAAUUCAUGCCGUCAAAGCAUUCCCCCCACACGUCUCUUCGCCUUUCCAGAUGCUGGAUUAUGUGUACAGGGAAAACAUCCUUGACACAUACCCAAAUUUGAGUAUAGCUCUGAGACUACUGCUCAGUCUCCCUGUGACUGUGGCAUCAGGGGAAAGAAGUUUCUCAUCACUAAAACGACUCAAGACUUACCUGAGGUCCACUAUGUCUCAAGACCGCCUGUCUGCCCUGGCUGUCAUCUCUAUUGAACAUGAAAUAACAAUAACUGGACAUGGACUCAGUUAUCACAAAAUUUGCAGAGGCCAAAGCUCGCAGGGUCAGACUAUAGAAUGAAAAACAAGGUCUCUCAGCUACACAGCUGAUGUCAGAUGAUUCAACCUGAAAUGAUGAGGAUGAGAAUGUUUAAAAGAAAGUUCAGAAAGUUCAAAGCGUUCAAAGUUCAGAAAGAUCAAAAACAAUGGAAAUCUGUCAAUGACCAGGACAUGAAGCAGAGACAAUUAAGACUGGCACAAAGGAGAGAAUGAAACCUGAUAAAGGGCAGAAAAGGCACAUGAGGAUAUGAGUGAGACAGGCGCAAAGCAGAGGAGCUUGAAGGCAAAACAGGGACACAGAUGAAGAGUAACAGGGAUACAGACAGAGAAAAAGAAGAUAGGGAGAAAGAGAAGGUUAUUAUUAAAAAAAACAUUGAUACUUGACUUGGAUAUUUAUUUAUAAUGCUACAUGAUUGACCUGGUGUUGAUUUUUGUCGUAGUGAGAAAACAACAGGGGAAAAGACAGAUGAACAACAUCACCUUCUAUCAGUGAGCCCUGGCUGAACAAGGUUGGGUUCUAUACUGCUGCUCACCACUAUUCUCUGAUAUGAAGACGACAACAGUAGGAC